rnacentral:lncRNA from 1 species
GACACUACUAAAUCAAAUGCCAGCUUAUUACAAGACAUAAGGAAUCCAUUAAAGUGGCUCAAGCAUGAAUUUCAGCAUAGAAUUGUGGCUCUGCAGAUGGUGAAGAAUCCUAAGAAUGCAUCAGCAGGUAGCUAUAGCACAGAUGAGAGAAUGGGAGUGGACAGUCUAUGAACAGGAGCAAGAUUGAAGAGUCGCUAACUGCAGCAUUGAUAGGACAUGAGGAAGGCCAUAGGUUUUAAAUCAGAAGAUAACAGGCGAAAGCUAAUGACACUAGAAGUGAGAUUAACUGAGAUUAAUUUCUCCAACUUCCGUUUUGCUACCUUCACUUCAAUUGUUAACAAGCAAUUUCCAUCAGCUUUAGUGUGAAAUGGAUCAGCCAAUAUGAACGCAUAUUGUGAAUGACUCACCCUGUAUCAACUGUCUAUACAUGAGUAAAGCCACAUGUCCCCACACUGCUGAUAGUCUUUAUUAUGGGCUUUCUUUAAGGUAAGAGAUUAGGAGCUUAAACUAUGACCAGAAACUUUUACAUUAGUUUUUACACUUCUCCCUUCUUCAAAGUACAAUACAGAAAUGCAGCUUUGGGACUUUAGACUUGAAUAGCUGCAAAAUCUUAUAAAAGGGAAUAUUACCUCAAUCUGUCACAUGGAUUUGCUAUAUGCUGAAGAAGAAGGUUACAGACAUUAAAAAAAAUCUAUAUUAAAUUUGCAUGUUGGAACAUUUGCUCUCCCUUCUACCCAAGACUUCAUGACAGUUGGUUCCUUGGGCAUAUUCCUCAAAUUCAUUUCAUCAGAUUUUGUGGCAGUUUUCACUUCACAGUUUCCCUGGUAAUAUAGAAGAAUGGGACAGCCUAAAUUACUUUAAUUUUUCAAAUGUGAUGUUAAGAAAAUUG